rnacentral:rRNA from 1 species
CCUACGGGUGACAGCAGUGGGGAAUAUUGCGCAAUGGGCGAAAGCCUGACGCAGCGACGCCGCGUGAGGGAUGAAGGUCUUCGGAUCGUAAACCUCUGUCAGCAGGGAAGAACGGUCACUGUGCUAAUCAGCAGUGAAUUGACGGUACCUGCAAAGGAAGCACCGGCUAACUCCGUGCCAGCAGCCGCGGUAAUACGGAGGGUGCGAGCGUUAAUCGGAAUUACUGGGCGUAAAGCGCUCGUAGGCGGUAUGUCAAGUCAAGGGUGAAAUCCCCGCGCUCAACGUGGGAACUGCCUUUGAAACUGGCAAACUGGAGUGUGUGAGAGGAUAGUGGAAUUCCAGGUGUAGGAGUGAAAUGCGUAGAUAUCUGGAGGAACAUCAGUGGCGAAGGCGACUAUCUGGCACAUAACUGACGCUGAGGAGCGAAAGCGUGGGUAGCAAACAGGAUUAGAUACCCUAGUAGUC